UCAAAAGAAGUGACGAAAUGAUGGAAAAAAGGGAGCAAAACCCCACUAACUCAUUUUUUUCCUUUUUUGGCUCUGUCCCUUGUGUUUUUUUUUUUC
rnacentral:ribozyme from 1 species